GAUGAACGCUGGCGGCGUGCCUAACACAUGCAAGUCGAGCGAUCUCUUCGGAGAGAGCGGCGGACGGGUGAGUAACGCGUGGGUAACCUGCCCUGUACACACGGAUAACAUACCGAAAGGUAUACUAAUACGGGAUAACAUACGAAAGUCGCAUGGCUUUUGUAUCAAAGCUCCGGCGGUACAGGAUGGACCCGCGUCUGAUUAGCUAGUUGGUAAGGUAAUGGCUUACCAAGGCAACGAUCAGUAGCCGACCUGAGAGGGUGAUCGGCCACACUGGAACUGAGACACGGUCCAGACUCCUACGGGAGGCAGCAGUGGGGAAUAUUGCACAAUGGGCGAAAGCCUGAUGCAGCAACGCCGCGUGAGCGAUGAAGGCCUUCGGGUCGUAAAGCUCUGUCCUCAAGGAAGAUAAUGACGGUACUUGAGAAGGAAGCCCCGGCUAACUACGUGCCAGCCGCCGCCGUAAGAC
rnacentral:rRNA from 1 species